GUGGGGAAUAUUGGACAAUGGGCGCAAGCCUGAUCCAGCCAUGCCGCGUGAGUGAUGAAGGCCCUAGGGUUGUAAAGCUCUUUCACCGGUGAAGAUAAUGACGGUAACCGGAGAAGAAGCCCCGGCUAACUUCGUGCCAGCAGCCGCGGUAAUACGAAGGGGGCUAGCGUUGUUCGGAAUUACUGGGCGUAAAGCGCACGUAAGCGGAUAUUUAAGUCAGGGGUGAAAUCCCGGAGCUCAACUCCGGAACUGCCUUUGAUACUGGGUACCUAGAGUAUGGAAGAGGUAAGUGGAAUUCCGAGUGUAGAGGUGAAAUUCGUAGAUAUUCGGAGGAACACCAGUGGCGAAGGCGGCUCACUGGUCCAUUACUGACGCUGAGGUGCGAAAGCGUGGGGAGCAAACAGGAUUAGAAACCCCAGUAGUCC
rnacentral:rRNA from 1 species